rnacentral:rRNA from 1 species
CCUACAGGAGGCAGCAGUGGGGAAUAUUGGACAAUGGGCGAAAGCCUGAUCCAGCCAUGCCGCGUGUGUGAAGAAGGCCUUCGGGUUGUAAAGCACUUUCAGUGGGGAAGAAAGCCUUGGGGCUAAUACCCUCGAGGAAGGACAUCACCCACAGAAGAAGCACCGGCUAACUCCGUGCCAGCAGCCGCGGUAAUACGGAGGGUGCGAGCGUUAAUCGGAAUUACUGGGCGUAAAGCGCGCGUAGGCGGUCUGAUAAGCCGGUUGUGAAAGCCCCGGGCUCAACCUGGGAACGGCAUCCGGAACUGUCAGGCUAGAGUGCAGGAGAGGAAGGUAGAAUUCCCGGUGUAGCGGUGAAAUGCGUAGAGAUCGGGAGGAAUACCAGUGGCGAAGGCGGCCUUCUGGACUGACACUGACGCUGAGGUGCGAAAGCGUGGGUAGCAAACAGGAUUAGAUACCCUUGUAGUC